GACGAACGCUGGCGGCGUGCUUAACACAUGCAAGUCGAGCGGUAAGGCCCUUCGGGGUACACGAGCGGCGAACGGGUGAGUAACACGUGAGCAAUCUGCCCUGCACAUCGGGAUAACCCCCGGAAACGGGAGCGAAUACCGGAUACGACCACUUCAGGCAUCUGAUGGUGGUGGAAAGUUCCGGCGGUGCAGGAUGAGCUCGCGGCCUAUCAGCUUGUUGGUCGGGUAAUGGCCCACCAAGGCUUCGACGGGUAGCCGGCCUGAGAGGGUGACCGGCCACACUGGGACUGAGACACGGCCCAGACUCCUACGGGAGGCAGCAGUGGGGAAUAUUGGACAAUGGGCGAAAGCCUGAUCCAGCAACGCCGCGUGAGGGAUGACGGCCUUCGGGUUGUAAACCUCUUUCAGCAGGGACGAAGUGCAAGUGUCGGUACCUGCAGAAGAAGCACCGGCCAACUACGUGCCAGCCGCCGCAGUAA
rnacentral:rRNA from 1 species